UACUACCGAAGCUACGGCAUCAGUAAUGAUGGGCAGGGUAGCUUCUCAUACGGGUAGAAGCAUGACCGUAAGGACAUGUGGACAGUAUAGGAUUGGGAAUGUUGGAAUGAGUAGCGAGAUGUGGGUGAGAAUCCCACAGGCCGUAAACCCAAGGGUUCCAGGGGAAGGUUCGUCCGCCCUGGGUUAGUCGGGACCUAAGCUGAGGCCGAAAGGCGUAGGUGAUGGACAACAGGUUGAUAUUCCUGUACUAACGAUAACCGUUUGAGAGAAGGGAUGACACAGUAGGAUAAGCUAAGCACACUGUUGGUUAUGUGUGCCCAAGCAUUGAGGCAGUCAAAGUAGGCAAAUCCGCUUUGAUAAUGCUGGGAUGUGAUGGGGAGCGAAAUUUAGUAGCGAAGUAGCUGAUUUCACACUGUCAAGAAAAGUCUCUAUCGAGGUUAAAGGUACCCGUACCGCAAACCGACACAGGUG
rnacentral:rRNA from 1 species